GACGAACGCUGGCGGCGCGCUUAACACAUGCAAGUCGAACGGAAAGGCCUGCUUUCCGUUGUGGAUUGCGGGUACUCGAGUGGCGAACGGGUGAGUAACACGUGAGUGAUCUGCCCCCAACUUGGGUAUAAGCCUGGGAAACUGGGUCUAAUUCCCGAUAGGACUGCAGGGUGGUGCCUGUGGUGGAAAACGAUUUUCUAGUGGUUGGGGAUGAGCUCGCGGCCUAUCAGCUUGUUGGUGGGGUAAUGGCCUACCAAGGCGGCGACGGGUAGCCGGCCUGAGAGGGUGGACGGCCACAUUGGGACUGAGAUACGGCCCAGACUCCUACGGGAGGCAGCAGUGGGGAAUAUUGCACAAUGGGCGGAAGCCUGAUGCAGCGACGCCGCGUGGGGGAUGACGGCCUUCGGGUUGUAAACUCCUUUCGACCGCGAGGAAGCCACCUGGUUGGAAGGGUGGUGACGGUAGUGGUAGAAGAAGCACCGGCUAACUACGUG
rnacentral:rRNA from 1 species